ACGACCUUACUUGAACAGGAUCUGUUCUAUAGGCUCGUACCACUGUAACCUUGAUUUCUAAGGAGACAGGAAACACUCCCAGUUCUUUUUGCUGGAGCUCUACUCUCAGAAUCGGUGGAUGAAUAGUAGCUAUGAGACUAGAGCGUGAUUAACAGCCUCCAUGGCCUUUGGGUCAUGGUACCGUAGAUGAUCGUUCUCUGCCUUGAGAUGGUCUUGUGGCUAUCUAACAGACU
rnacentral:snoRNA from 1 species